GGCUGGGCUGGAGCAAAGGAUUUCAAGAAUGGGAGCAAAGAGGGAUCUCCUGGAAAACCUGCUGCUUUCCGCUCUCCUCCCCUGGAGAAGUUGAAAAGGAAGAAAACCAUCAUCCUGUUUGUUCUUGUGUCAUGUGCUAUUAUGUUCCCUUACUUCUCCCUGCAGAUAACUUUAGGGAAAUACUUCUCUGCUGAACCUUUGAAAGCCCUCAUGCCAGUGGCCUUUCUCAUCAGAUGUCUGAAGGAGACAGAUUCUGAGGAUCAGUGUCCUGUUGACUGAUGGAGCUUCUACUCCAGGUUCAAGGGCAGCGGUCCUCAGGAGACCCCAGCACUUAACAUCUUCAGUUGGAUAUGACACAUGACUCAACAAGUCUUCCUCAGUGAAUUCCUGGGUUCUCCAGUGGUGAAACAGACAGAAGGAGAAAGCACGUAUGUAUAUGAACAUGUAUGUUUAUGUGUAUAUGUAUAUUGGAGAAGCUACCAGGAAUCUUUAUUGGAAGGAAAACUUGAGGUUAAUGCUGUGGUCAUGUCAGUCCUUUUAACUUCCUGUCACAUAAUUGGAACCAAAUUGGUUGCUGUUUGUUUGCUGGCUUCACUUGCCAAGCAUGGUUACCAUGGUGACUUAGUGACUGCUGUGGGAUUUGAUGCAGAUUGA
rnacentral:lncRNA from 1 species